AUCAACUUUCGAUGGUAGGAUAGAGGCCUACCAUGGUGGUAACGGGUAACGGGGUGUUAGGGCACGACACCGGAGAGGGAGCCUGAGAAACGGCUACCACAUCCAAGGAUGGCAGCAGGCGCGCAAAUUACCCACUCCCGACACGGGGAGGUAGUGACAAUAAAUAACAAUACGGGGUUCUUUCGGAUCUCGUAAUUGGAAUGAGUACAAUUUAAAUCUCUUAACGAGGAACAAUUGGAGGGCAAGUCUGGUGCCAGCAGCCGCGGUAAUUCCAGCUCCAAUAGCGUAUAUUAAAGUUGUUGCAGUUAAAAAGCUCGUAGUUGAAUUUCGGGAUCAAUAUGUUGGUCGUGCCUUGGUACGUACUGGCGUCAUUGGUUUCUACCUUCUGAAGAACCUCGAUGUCAUUAAUUUGGUGUCUUGGGGAAUCAGGACUGUUACUUUGAAAAAAUUAGAGUGUUUAAAGCAGGCUCACGCUUGAAUACAUUAGCAUGGAAUAGUGAAAUAGGACGUUUGAUUCUAUUUUGUUGGUUUCUAGGAUCGACGUAAUGAUUAAUAGGGAUAGUUGGGGGCAUUAGUAUUCAAUUGUCAGAGGUGAAAUUCUUGGAUUUAUUGAAGACUAACUACUGCGAAAGCAUUUGCCAAGGAUGUUUUCAUUAAUCAAGAACGAAAGUUAGGGGAUCGAAGACGAUCAGAUACCGUCGUAGUCUUAACCAUAAACUAUGCCGACUAGGGAUCGGAUGAUGUUAAUUUUUUAAUGACUUAUUCGGCGCCUUACGGGAAACCAAAGUGUUUGGGUUC
rnacentral:rRNA from 1 species